rnacentral:misc_RNA from 1 species
GAUGAAGAACGCAGCGAAAUGCGAUAAGUAAUGUGAAUUGCAGAAUUCAGUGAAUCAUCGAGUCUUUGAACGCACAUUGCGCCCCCUGGUAUUCCGGGGGGCAUGCCUGUUCGAGCGUCAUUUCACCACUCAAGCCUCGCUUGGUAUUGGGCAACGCGGUCCGCCGCGUGCCUCAAAUCGACCGGCUGGGUCUUCUGUCCCCUAAGCGUUGUGGAAACUAUUCGCUAAAGGGUGUUCGGGAGGCUACGCCGUAAAACAACCCCAUUUCUAAGGUUGACCUCGGAUCAGGUAGGGAUACCCGCUGAACUUAAGCAUAUCAAUAAGCGGAGGA